GGGCUGCGCGCGCCGAGAGCGCCGGCGGUCCGCCUGCGGGCGCUGACGAUGGCCGGCUGACUCGUGCGGGAGCCCGCGCCUGGGCGCGAUGAUGCUCCUGAGGGGCGCCUGGACGCGGCGCCCGCGGUUGCUGCCGACCCCCGGACCCCGGGGCCGAGCGCCUCCGCGGCCGCUAACGCCGCUGCCUCAGAACCGUUGCUUGGAGGAGAGGGAAGAGUGGAUGUGUCCUAGAAAGACAGAUAGGGGGAAAAUGCUGCGUGCAACUCGGAUUGGGAUGGAGCCUGACAGGAGCCCUCACUGAGCCUGAGGAGGAAAGACAGCCCAUUAAAAAGAGCCUUCCAGGUGCGUGUGGUUGGGCAGCGCGCGUUGCUUCUGAGUUUUAAUUCUCAGCCCCCCUCCCCCCAUUAGUUUCAGAUCGUUAAAGAGAAAAAUAUGUUUAGCUGUGCAGUUUGCAAGAAAAACAGAGAAGCCAGGCCAUUAUCUUGUCACUUUCACUUCCUGUUUUUUUUUUUACCCCCUCCAGCUAUUUCAGGGCUUCACAGUUUUGAAUGCUGGAGGAAAUAUUUAAAUACAUAUUUAAAAUUCCUUCCCUGAGUGUUUGAGAGAGAAUGAGGAAGGGCAUUUUGUUACUAACAUCUAGGAAAAGGGGCCAGCUCCUUAAAAUGAUAGAUUUAGCAGUAAAUUGGAGAGAGGGGUUUCCACUUUGUGAAAUUGUACUUUAUUAGAAAGUGUUGCGCUUCAUGGUUAAAAAUAUACCCAACAGUGAAACAGCCCAGUAGGAGGAACCCCCUUCACUAUACCACCAUUUAAACGUAAAUGAUUAAUUCAGUUUUCUAUUAAGGCUAUCUAACCAAAUGUUAGAUGGAGUAGAAUUGUUACAGAGCCCAAGACUCGCUGCCCUUUCUCAAAUGAUCAUCUCUAAGCUCCUCUGUCUACAUUUCCCACCUGUUGCUAGUCUCACCUGGUGCCACUGCAUGCCCCAGCAGGAAUAUGGAUGCCCUUUAAAAAAAA